rnacentral:rRNA from 1 species
AAACGGGUGCGGAACACGUACACAACCUUCCUUUAAGUGGGGGAUAGCCCAGAGAAAUUUGGAUUAAUACCCCGUAACAUUAUUUGAUGGCAUCAUCGGGUAAUUAAAGCUUUGGCGCUUGAAGAUGGGUGUGCGUCUGAUUAGGUAGUUGGUAGGGGUAACAGCCCACCAAGCCAGCGAUCAGUAACUGGUGUGAGAGCACGACCAGUCACACGGGCACUGAGACACGGGCCCG